GACGAACGCUGGCGGCGUGCUUAACACAUGCAAGUCGAACGGAAAGGCCCUGCUUGCAGGGUCCUCUAGUUGCGAACGGGUGAGUUACACGUUGGUUAUCUGCCCUUCACUUCGGGAUAAGCCUGUGCAACUGGGUCUAAUACCGGAUAGGAGCCAUUUUUAGUGUGUUGGUUGGAGAGUUUUUUCGGUGUAGGUUGAGCUCGCGGCCUAUCAGCUUGUUGGUGGGGUAAUGGCCUACCAAGGCGUAGGCGGGUAUCCGGCGCGAGAGGGUGGACGGCAACAUUGGGACUGAGAUAGGGACAAGACUCCGACGGGAGGGAGCAGUGGGGAAGAGUGAACAAGGGGAGCAAGCCUGAUGCAGAGACGCCGAGUGGGGGAUGACGGCCUAGGGGUUGGGAACGCAUUUCGCUAGGGACGAAGCAUUUUGUGACGGUACCGAGAGAAGAAGCACCGGCUAACUACGUG
rnacentral:rRNA from 1 species